GAACACUUUAAAGCAGCUUCUGACGUUUCACCCAUGGACAUUCUAACUUAAAUAGGUCUGGCCAGUGGUGAAAUGGAGAAAUCUAUUUUCAACAAAUAGUAAGGAAAGUUAACCAUAACAAAAUGACUCCAAGAUGCCACCUGAUUUGUUGGCCAGUGAAUUUUUCAUGACAAACGUAUUUCUUUGAUCACUUGGAAUGGGCUCACAGGCCCAUUAUUAUCCUUAUUUUAAGAUUGUAGAACACACCACUUACAGACCUAUCUAUUUUUCUAGGCCCACUUGUGAAAAAGCAGUGAAGAAGAAAAGGCACUCUCAUUAAGUACUAAAUCAGAGCAGUCAGAGGGAGACCAAUGAGAUUUUUUCUCCAGGGUGAUAUCAGUGUGUUUCAGGGAAGGAAAACAAAUUUCAGGAGAUUGGAACUGGUGGACUGUUAGUAACAGGAAUCGUAAUAGUAAGUAUUGAGCUGUUUGCUGUGCUGGUUGUACUGAAGCUCCACUCUCACUCUCAAAGCUCUGCCUUGCACCUUUGUAGAGUGGUGAUCAUUUGUGGGAGAGUGAAAAGAAAAAGAGUGAUGGGGCUGGCCUAGUGGCUCAGCGGUUAAGUGCGCACAUUCUGCUUCGGUGGCCUGGGGUUUGCUGGUUCAGAUUCCGGGUGCAGACGUGGCACUGCUUGGCAAGCUCUGCUGUGGUAGGCAUCCCACAUAUAAAGUAGAGGAAGACGGGCACGGAUGUUAGCUCAGGGCCAGUCCUCCUCGGCAAAAAAAGGAGGAUUGGCAGCAGUUAGCUCAGGGCUAUCUUCCUCAAAAAAAAAAAAAAAAGAAAAAGGGUGAUGCAUCUCACACUGAUGUGGAUGUGGGGUGGAGAGAAGAGAGUGACUGAAGGAGGAAGGAUGAACAGAGGUAGAGAGACUUCAUUGAAAGCAGACAAUCAACGCAAGGGGAGACUAGGGAAAUAGGGCUCUUUUGAGAGUCCUGAGAUGUUGGGGUGAUGUUAAUUCAUGCUUGAGCAUUUUUUAAAUUGAUGCAGAGACUGUCCCACCAUCUUUGCUCCCUCAGUGCCAUAAAGUUUUAUGGGGACAUCCAGGCAACUGACAUUUGGGUUGUAAAGGUCCCUGUGUUUUCCUUUGUGGAAACAAGGAAGGUGUGCGUACUGUAGAGACUGUCCAACCUUGACAAGAAAAAUCCUCAAGGGAUUGAGGAGGUAGUAUGGAAGAGCAGGAAUGUGAGCAGACCUUCUGUCACUGGGGCCUGCAGUGGAGAAGAAAAGGAAGCCUACCCAUGUGGCCUCAGAAAUUGUCCUUGACACCUUUGAAGAUUCCACAGAAAGCAAUAGGCUACAUGUGCCAUCCACCCCCAAGGAAUGUGUCAAUUGACAAUGCAUUCACUAUAAAUUCAAAGAAGCCGGUAAAUGGGCUCCCGCAGCUCCUCGGAAGAGAUCUGGCUUCAGUUUGAUUCUAAGGAGUGAGGGAUUUGGCUAGGCAAAGAGGAGAAGUAAUUUAAUGAUAGCUCCUAUCUUUAAGUAUUUCCCAUGUGCCAGGCUUGUGCUAUUUUGCAUACGUUAUUUCAUUUAAUCAUUGGAAGGCUUAUUUAAAAAAUGAGCAAAAUGAAGUUUAGAGAGAUGAAAUUCGUUUUCUGAUAGGUGGUGGAGCUGAGUUUCAUAUCCAAGAACCUCUGGUGCCAAAGAGUGUUUUUAGUCACUAUACUCUGUGGUCUCUAGAGGUCAAACUGGGUGGUUUUCAGCUGGCGGCCAUACUGCCCUUCUGGAAGAUAUUUUGAAAAGUGAAGGAGGAGAGAGUUUUGGAUUGUCAUGUGUACUGGUGCUUCUCCCAGAAUUUAGUGGGAGGCUAGGGUGGGGUGGGCAGGCAGGAUUACAAAACAUUAUGCAAUAUGUGGGCAGUCCUGUACUACAAAGAAUUGCCCCAAAUGUGAAUGGUUCCUCUAUUGAGAAACACUUGAGAGAAAGAGCAUAAAUAUAGUAGAUGAGGCAGUGGGCAAUGGGAAUUACUGGUCGUAGGGUACGUAUGAGGGGUAGAAUGGAGACUUGUCUAAUCAAUGCACAGACUCAGCCUGAGGAGAAAUGUUUGUUUGCUUCUCCAACAUACCAAGUCCUUUCCCUCUUCUGCUGGUUGCUCCCUUAACCUGGGUUUUCUCUGCACAGCUCAUUCUUGUCCUUCAGAUCUUAGAGCAAAUAUAAUCUUCCUGAAGUGGGUCUUUUCAAACCACUGCCCAGUUUAUUUCAUCAUCCUUGUAUUAGUUAUCUAUUGCUGUGUAACAAAUUGCCCCAAAACCCAGCAGCUUGAAGCAGUAAGAUUUAUUGUCUGUUUCACAUUUUUCUGUGUGUCAGGAACCUGGGAGCUAGUGGUCUGGUUCAGGAUCUCUCAUGAGGUUGCACUCAAGCUGUUGUCUGGGGCUGCAAUCAUCUGAAGGGCUGUAGGAUCCACUUCAAAGACUAUUCACAUCAUUGUUGACAGGCCUUAGUUCCUUGCUGGCUGUUUGCCACAUGAGACUUUCCACAGGCUGUCUGAGUGUCCUCAAAUACAUGAGAGUUGUCUUCUCCCUCAGAAAAUCAGAGCAUGAGAGGGUGACCAAAACAGAAACCACAGUGUCCUCCAUACCUAAUCUUGAAUCUUCUGUAUUCUACUGGUUAGUCAGACCAACUCUAUACAAUGUGGGAAGGGACUACCCAAGGGUUUGACUAUCAAGAGGCAGGAUCAUUGGAGGCCAUCUUGGAGGCUGGCGACCACAGUCCUGCCUAUUUUCUUCUUAGCACUCAUCCCAAUCUUGGAUUCUCCUCUUUAUUUGUUUACUUGUUGAUUGUUGAUCUCUCCCUCAGUAGAAUGAAAGUUGUACUAAGGCACAGACACUUCCCUGGCUUACUCCUGAAUUUCCAGCCCCUAGAAGAGUGUCUGACACAAUGAAUAUUGUUGAAAGAAUGAGUAUUUUGGUGAACCACAUGGUAAAGUAUAGGAAGUCACUAACCAACCUUCAUUUCUUUUGUCUAAAUUUACUUUUAUCACAUUAGUUUGUAAUUGACUUGUAAGAUCACUGAAUGGACAAAGAGACACAAAGUGGAUGUCUAGUUGAGUUUUUUUUUUGACUUGAUAAAUUAUUUAAAAGAAUUACCUACAUGUCUUUCUUCUGCAUUUUGUCAAAUAUGUGCUCUAAUAAUCAAAAUAGUCUGGUAUAAAACGUCAUAGUUUCAAAACUGCUUUCACAUUCUACACCUCAUUUGAUCUUAAUGCUGUGUUUAAAUUGAUAGAACUUAUAUUUAUAGAUGAGGUAUUGGCGGUUUGGAGAUGUCAGUAACUCACCAAAAGGAUACGUUUAGGGGUAACAUGGGGACCUUGACAAAGCUUCCGCCUGCAAAUUAAGGACAAUGUUCCUGAGCUGAGUCUGCCUUUAUUUAAUGCUUACAUAACACUUUUCUCACAAUAAUUUUUAACAGUCCAUAUAAGAUGAUGUUCUCAGAAUAGCUAUUCUUAGAAUAACUUAUUUUCUUUCAUAUGUACGUGUACCGUUUUUUGCACACCAGGGUGAUUGUAUUAACUUAUCAUUAUAGCAUGGGCUG
rnacentral:lncRNA from 1 species